AAAAUGAGAGAAUGAAAUCCACUUUGGCCAUCUUUUUCGUUAUUUGCAUUUUGCGCUUGAAGUUUGAAGUGUCAAAUUCAUUUCGAAGUUUGAACUUUGAAGUGUAAUAUAAAUAACACGAUAUAAAUAAAGUUGUUUUUCUGUGUUUAAUACGGUUUACAGUUUAAACCUUCAACAAUACUAAAGUAUAUAAAUAACGAUGUUCACAAAUAGCCAACGGUCAAACAAAGACCGUACCUUACCUUCGUUGAAACGAAAACAAACAAGAGAGCAUGAUUUGUCCAAUUAUGCUAAGGAAGAGCAUCAAAAACAUUUGCUUUACAAAGAAGAGGCUCACCAAAAAUCCAUGCUGCACAAAGAGGAGGCGCACCAAAAAGCGAUGCAGCAGAUGGAAGAAAGGCACAAUAAAUAUAUGGAGCAGCAAGAAGAGUUGCAUCAAAUUGAGGUAGAAUGCAAGAAGAAACGAUUAGAAAAUAUUAAAUUGCUACUUUAGGGUAUAAAUUAUGUCAUGUUUUUUUAACAAAAAUAGUUUGUAUUUAAGUUAUGAUUAAACAGUUUAUUAAUCAA